rnacentral:lncRNA from 1 species
AUCCUGAACAGCCAAUGGGAGAAGGAGUGGGCGGGCUCAGGAGAUAAAAGGUGGGAGGGGCUGAAAUGCUGCAGUGCCACCAAUCACUGCAGGGAACAAGUGCGAUGCAUUUAGCUCGCUGCAGCUGCUUGGGAUCAGGCCCAGGAAUACGAACUAUAGAUCUGAUCUGAACUGCGUGUGUGUGAAGGAACACAGAUGUCACUCCGGCAUUCGCUUCAAACCUGCUGUUCCAGCCCUGCCUCUCUGGGGUACCAGCCAGGUUGAAGGUGGGUGGAAUUUCCUACUCCAGGUGUGGGGAGUUUAGGAGGUGUCUGCUGCUCGUCACUGCAGAGUCUGAGCCUCCCGAAUAGGAAUGAAAUAUUUCCUUGCCAAGCAAGCGUUAUCACGGGCCUGUUUGGUAGAUGAGGGACAGAGCUGAGCAGGGCCGGCUUUAGGCCAAUUCAACCAAUUCCCCUGAAUUGGGCC